rnacentral:rRNA from 1 species
GGGAACGGUUAACGGGGAUGGCACACAGCAUGCAGUCGUACGAGUGAAGUCCACAGCUUGCUGGGAUGGAUCAGUGGCGAACGGGUGAGUAACACGUGAGCAACCUGCCCUCCACUUCGGGAUAAGCCUUGGAAACGGGGUCUAAUACCGGAUAUGAGCUUCCGUCGCAUGGCGGGGGUUGGAAAGUUUUUCGGUGGGGGAUGGGCUCGCGGCCUAUCAGCUUGUUGGUGGGGUGAUGGCCUACCAAGGCGUCGACGGGUAGCCGGCCUGAGAGGGCGACCGGCCACACUGGGACUGAGACACGGCCCAGACUCCUACGGGAGGCAGCAGUGGGGAAUAUUGCACAAUGGGCGCAAGCCUGAUGCAGCGACGCCGCGUGAGGGAUGACGGCCUUCGGGUUGUAAACCUCUUUCAGCAGGGAAGAAGCGCAAGUGACGGUACCUGCAGAAGAAGCGCCGGCUAACUACGUGCCAGCAGCCGCGGUAAUACGUAGGGCGCAAGCGUUGUCCGGAAUUAUUGGGCGUAAAGAGCUCGUAGGCGGUCUGUCGCGUCUGGUGUGAAAUCCCGAGGCUCAACCUCGGGCUUGCAUCGGGUACGGGCAGACUAGAGUGCGGUAGGGGAGACUGGAAUUCCUGGUGUAGCGGUGGAAUGCGCAGAUAUCAGGAGGAACACCGAUGGCGAAGGCAGGUCUCUGGGCCGCAACUGACGCUGAGGAGCGAAAGCAUGGGGAGCGAACAGGAUUAGAUACCCUGGUAGUCCAUGCCGUAAACGUUGGGCACUAGGUGUGGGGCUCAUUCCACGAGUUCCGUGCCGCAGCUAACGCAUUAAGUGCCCCGCCUGGGGAGUACGGCCGCAAGGCUAAAACUCAAAGGAAUUGACGGGGGCCCGCACAAGCGGCGGAGCAUGCGGAUUAAUUCGAUGCAACGCGAAGAACCUUACCAAGGCUUGACAUGUACGAGAACACGCUAGAGAUAGCGGACUCUUUGGACACUCGUACACAGGUGGUGCAUGGUUGUCGUCAGCUCGUGUCGUGAGAUGUUGGGUUAAGUCCCGCAACGAGCGCAACCCUCGUCCUAUGUUGCCAGCGGGUUAUGCCGGGGACUCAUGGGAGACUGCCGGGGUCAACUCGGAGGAAGGUGGGGAUGACGUCAAAUCAUCAUGCCCCUUAUGUCUUGGGCUUCACGCAUGCUACAAUGGCCGGUACAGAGGGCUGCGAUACCGUAAGGUGGAGCGAAUCCCAAAAAGCCGGUCUCAGUUCGGAUUGGGGUCUGCAACUCGACCCCAUGAAGUCGGAGUCGCUAGUAAUCGCAGAUCAGCAACGCUGCGGUGAAUACGUUCCCGGGCCUUGUACACACCGCCCGUCA